rnacentral:lncRNA from 1 species
CAAGAUAUCAACUCCCUCAAACUUGUUCUUUACUUGUCCUCAAGUGACCUUGUAAGAACUCAUAAGGGUGAGAGGUUUGAAAGUGGGAACUCAUAGCCAAAAGUAACACUUUCUAGCACUCAACUUAACAUCCUAAAGAAACAUAGCAGAUAGCAUGAGCAUCUUCCUUAUUAUACUCUAGCUUCUCUAGGCCUAUCCAUACUCUUUUGGCUCUACUCAAGUUGCAAUACUCUUUACAAAAAAGUUUCUUCAAUCAACUCUCACAUUGAUUCACACACACACACAAGGUGAAUUCUCAAAAAUGGCUAGGUAAGCAAUGGUCUAAUAUGAAUGAAGAGAUGGGUUCAAAUGUUUUCAUUUAAAAGUGAUUAUCACUCUAAACAAGGAGCUUGAUCAUUAUGUAAAAUUUAUCUAAGAUUAGAAGCAACUCAUGCAUACAUAGAUUCAUUCUCAUCAUUCUGCCCCCCUUUUGUUAUAAGUGAUCACAAGUUCUACCCUCUUUAUCAUCAUCUCAAAGUUAAACUAAACCCCUCACGUCACUCAUCCAAUGAACAACUCUCCUUUUCUUUUGACUCAACCACUAGGGAUUUUAAUUCACUUUCUACAAGCUCUAACUCUUUUUCAUUUCCUUCUCCAACUUCUCUUUGAUUCUUUUUAUUUUCCUUUUCCCUUUUUUUUUAUUAGGGGGAAGGUUCUUUGUUACAUAAUCAAGAGCUUCUUAUUUUCUUUUUAUCCCUAGAGUUUUAUUUUCUAUUUAUACUCUUCUCUGCUCAUCUCUCUCAUCUUUCUCACUCUCCAAACCCAAGAUAUUGAAAUUUAGAACACACAAACCCCUCUCAA